GAAUUACUCUCAAUCAUACCCUGAUAUUGGUUGGAUCUGGGGUUUGCCUUGACUAGUUCAUGGCUCCUCCUAAAUGUGUUAGCUUAUUGGUGAUGAACUUCUGUUGGCUUGAUAAUAUUGUCUAUGCCUCAGCAGUCCAUAUGUCAGAGCUUACAGUCGUCCUUGGACAAUAUAUUCUAAU
rnacentral:misc_RNA from 1 species